GCCCGCCUAGCUCAAUCGGAUAGAGCGUCAGACUCUUACGGCGGGUGUGAUCUGAAGGCUGCGAGUUCGACCCUCGCGGUGGGCU